rnacentral:rRNA from 1 species
UACGAAGGGGGCUAGCGUUGCUCGGAAUCACUGGGCGUAAAGCGCACGUAGGCGGAUUGCUAAGUCAGGGGUGAAAUCCUGGAGCUCAACUCCAGAACUGCCUUUGAUACUGGCGAUCUCGAGUCCGGGAGAGGUUAGUGGAAUUCCCAGUGUAGAGGUGAAAUUCGUAGAUAUUGGGAAGAACACCAGUGGCGAAGGCGGCUAACUGGUCCAGAUCUGACGCUGAGGUGCGAAAGCGUGGGGAGCGAACAGG